AUGCAAGUCGAGCGGUAACAGAAAGUAGCUUGCUACUUUGCUGACGAGCGGCGGACGGGUGAGUAAUGCUUGGGAACAUGCCUUGAGGUGGGGGACAACAGUUGGAAACGACUGCUAAUACCGCAUAAUGUCUACGGACCAAAGGGGGCUUCGGCUCUCGCCUUUAGAUUGGCCCAAGUGGGAUUAGCUAGUUGGUGAGGUAAUGGCUCACCAAGGCAACGAUCCCUAGCUGGUUUGAGAGGAUGAUCAGCCACACUGGAACUGAGACACAGUCCAGACUCCUACGGGAGGCAGCAGUGGGGAAUAUUGCACAAUGGGCGAAAGCCUGAUGCAGCCAUGCCGCGUGUGUGAAGAAGGCCUUCGGGUUGUAAAGCACUUUCAGUCAGGAGGAAAGGGUGUGAGUUAAUACCUCACAUCUGUGACGUUACUGACAGAAGAAGCACCGGCUAACUCCGUGCCAGCAGCCGCGGUAAUACGGAGGGUGCGAGCGUUAAUCGGAAUUACUGGGCGUAAAGCGUACGCAGGCGGUUUGUUAAGCGAGAUGUGAAAGCCCCGGGCUCAACCUGGGAACUGCAUUUCGAACUGGCAAACUAGAGUGUGAUAGAGGGUGGUAGAAUUUCAGGUGUAGCGGUGAAAUGCGUAGAGAUCUGAAGGAAUACCGAUGGCGAAGGCAGCUACCUGGGUCAACACUGACGCUCAUGUACGAAAGCGUGGGGAGCAAACGGGAUUAGAUACCCCGGUAGUCCACGCCGUAAACGAUGUCUACUAGAAGCUCGGAACCUCGGUUCUGUUUUUCAAAGCUAACGCAUUAAGUAGACCGCCUGGGGAGUACGGCCGCAAGGUUAAAACUCAAAUGAAUUGACGGGGGCCCGCACAAGCGGUGGAGCAUGGGGUUUAAUUCGAUGCAACGGCGAGGAACCUUACCUACACUUGACAUACAGAGAACUUACUAGAAGAUAGAUUGGUGCCUUCGGGAACUCUGAUACAGGUGCUGCAUGGCCUGUCGUCAGCUCGUGGUGUGGAGAUGGUGGGUAAGUCCGCAACGAGGCAACCCUUAUUCUUAGUGCUAGCAGGUAAUGGGUGAGAACUCUAAGGAGACUGCCGGGGGA
rnacentral:rRNA from 1 species